GUGCAUUGGCAGUGCUGUGAAGGACCAGCCUUUGUGUGACAGUGAUGGGGUGGUUACCACUCUGAAGGAGAUCUUUGAGACUGGUGAAAGAGACCUGCACUGAGGGAACUCAUUGAGCUUCCCUGGAGACAGAACUGAAUAAGAGAUGGAUGGAUGGAUUCAGUGUGGCAGUUCCUGUGUUAAUAUUGGUCUUAACUUCAGGAGUUGGUAAACAAUAAAUAAAUGAAUGAA